CCGUACUUCUCCAACGGAUAUACAAUCCCAAAAAAGUAUAUUACCAAUAAAAAUUUACAUUACAAAAUGGUUCAUAAAAGUUCUAUAACAAAUCUACCAAACUACAAAAUUCAAUUACCAAGCUAUCACUAAAUUUGAUGACUUGUCCACACAAUAUAAUAUCAGUAUAUCUUACAAAAGUCCUCCCCGCAUGUCGAAAGCUAUUUUCAUCUGACUAUAUAUAGAAAAAUGUAUGUAAACCUCAAUCAAAGAAAAUCAUAGACCAAUUUCAUAUCUCCGUCUGCACAGGUCCCAACCACUUAAAAUACAGUUAAUUCUCCGUAGUUUCUUCACAGAUCAAUAUAUACGUUUCUUUUUAUGGAAAACACCAAGUUUAUUUGGCAAAGUUUUCAAUCUGUAUACUUCAUCAAAUAUAGUCUGUGUCAUAGAUUAUUUUGACAGUACAGUACAUUUUAGUACAGAUUUCAAGAAACUGUAAGGCUAAGUUUUUCUAUUUAGAUAUGAAUAUUUCAAAAUACCCAACGUUA
rnacentral:lncRNA from 1 species